UUUUUUGGAACCCCGUUAUUGGAGAACUAUCUCUGUGUGGAAAUUCCAGUCAUUUGUAACCAUAGUACUCUAUAUAGAUCUAUUGCAAUGGCAAACUUGUAAAAUAAAAUAAAAUAAAAUAAAAUUAAUAUCAGCACAAUUUGGAAAAGUCAUUUGAAUCUUGGCAAUGAAUUUCGGAACCCCAGGGUGAAAACCCCGCACUUGAUUACACAUUUCCAGUUCACUUUUUAUACAUUACUCUGAUUCUCCAUUUAACAUACGAGCCUCUAGUCCUGGACUAGGGUACAUUUUGAUUGACGUUGGACAAAGUUACAGUUAGGUCGGACACCAACAAUACACUCGGGUCGGACAAACAAUAAACCUCAGUUUCACUUAGGUCGGACAGAAUGUCCAGUGGUUUCCCCUCUACGUAGGACAAUUUUACGAAUGGGUCGGACAAUAUGUCCCGCGUGACUGACGGCUAUUUUAAGACCCGCGAAACUCAAGUUGGUUAACGAGCUUAGCAGAUAUCAGUUGCGCUAUAGACAUGUGAUCGCGUGUUGAAUUGAUAGAAAGACUGUUUAAUUAAUUACCUCAAAUGCUGUCACGGUUUAGAUAAAUGUGAUUUCCUCUGGUCAUGAACACUUUUGGAAAUCCGCAACGUUAUUAAACAUCGACGAGCUGUCUUGAAAUUUAAGAAUUUCAGCA